rnacentral:tRNA from 1 species
GCGGGAGUUCCCAAGCGGUCAACGGGGGUAGGCUCAAGACCUACUGUGCGAAAGCCUUCAUGGGUUCGAAUCCCUUCUCCCGCAUCA